rnacentral:rRNA from 1 species
UACGUAGGGCGCAAGCGUUGUCCGGAAUUAUUGGGCGUAAAGAGCUCGUAGGCGGUUUGUCGCGUCUGCUGUGAAAACUCGAGGCUCAACCUCGGGCUUGCAGUGGGUACGGGCAGACUAGAGUGCGGUAGGGGUGACUGGAAUUCCUGGUGUAGCGGUGGAAUGCGCAGAUAUCAGGAGGAACACCGAGUGGCGAAGGCAGGUCUCUGGGCAUUAACUGACGC